UACGGAGGGAGCAAGCGUUACUCGGAAUUAUUGGGCGUAAAGGGCGCGUAGGCGAUUUGAAAAGUCUUGUGUGAAAGCCCCGAGCUUAACUCGGGAAGUGCACAAGAAACUGUUGAAUUUGAGUUCCGGAGAGGGAGGCAGAAUUCCCGGUGUAGCGGUGAAAUGCGUAGAUAUCGGGAGGAAUACCGAUGGCGAAGGCAGGUCUCUGGGCUGACACUGACGCUCAUGCACGAAAGCGUGGGGAGCAAACAGG
rnacentral:rRNA from 1 species